rnacentral:lncRNA from 1 species
CAAUUUUUUCGAUUGUAAAGUGUAAUAAUAAUAGGUUGAUUUUGAACUCUCUCUGACUUUUCUUUUGAGUUACAUUUUAGAGUUUUCAGUAAUUACUAAACAAGAUGUCGAAAAAAACGCAUUUUUAUAAUCCAAAAUCUGGGCUACCAAAAUCAACCAGACAUUAUUUAAAAAAAAAAGGCAUUUUAAAAUUGGAUUGCGAUGAUUCAA